CUCUGCAGAGUCACUGGCUACACUGUCCCUCAGGAUGGAAUGGAGCUGGGUCAUCCUCUUCCUCCUGUCAGUAACUGCAGGUGUCCACUCCCAGGUCCAGCUGCAGCAGCCUGAGUCAGAGGUGGGGAGACCUGGGUCCUCAGUGAGGCUGUCCUGCAAGGCUUCUGGAUUCACCUUCACUGAUCAUGCUGUGCACUGGGUGAAGCAGAGUCCUGGGCAGGGGCUGGAGUGGAUUGGAUGGAUUUAUCCUGGAAGUGGUAAUACUGGCUAUAACCAGAAGUUCCGGGGCAAGGCCACACUGACUGUAGACACAUCCUCCAGCACAGCCCACAUGGAGCUCCGCAGCCUGACAGCUGAGGACUCUGCGGUCUAUUACUGUGCGAGAGAUGCACACAGUGCUGCACCCACAUCCUGA